rnacentral:rRNA from 1 species
GGAGGAUCCAAGCGUUAUCCGGAAUCAUUGGGUUUAAAGGGUCCGUAGGCGGUCUUAUAAGUCAGUGGUGAAAUCUCCCCGCUCAACGGGGAAACGGCCAUUGAUACUGUAAGACUUGAAUUAUUAGGAAGUAACUAGAAUAUGUAGUGUAGCGGCGAAAUGCUUAGAGAUUACAUGGAAUACCAAUUGCGAAGGCAGGUUACUACUAAUGGAUUGACGCUGAUGGACGAAAGCGUGGGUAGCGAACAGGAUUGAUACCCUGGUAGUCCACGCCGUAAACGAUGGAUACUAGCUGUUGGGCGCAAGUUCAGUGGCUAAGCGAAAGUGAUAAGUAUCCCACCUGGGGAGUACGUUCGCAAGAAUG